GCUUUCCUAUCAUGCUUGAGAGACAACGAUUAGGCCUCCUUAAGAGACUCUGCAAGAAGCCUAUGCAAAGAGAAGAGAGAAGAUACUACAUGUGUAAAAAGCAAGUGCAAAAAGGACCAGCUUCUCUUCCCAGGUUUCAUUCAGCUCAGCAAUGAUCUUCUCC